GUCCUACGGGACGCAGCAGUGAGGAAUAUUGGUCAAUGGACGAGAGUCUGAACCAGCCAAGUCGCGUGAAGGAUGACUGCCCUAUGGGUUGUAAACUUCUUUUAUAAAGGAAUAGAACGAGGCACGUGUGCCUUUUUGCAUGUACUUUAUGAAUAAGGAUCGGCUAACUCCGUGCCAGCAGCCGCGGUAAUACGGAGGAUCCGAGCGUUAUCCGGAUUUAUUGGGUUUAAAGGGAGCGUAGAUGGGUUGUUAAGUCAGUUGUGAAAGUUUGCGGCUCAACCGUAAAAUUGCAAUUGAUACUGGCA
rnacentral:rRNA from 1 species